rnacentral:rRNA from 1 species
CACCUUGACUAUGUGCACCUUUGUUGUUCCCUCGGCAGUUCGCUGCCGCCAGGNACCACCAAACCCCUUGCAUCAGCAUCAAACCUCUGAAAACAAAACCUAGUUAUUUACAACUUUCAACAAUGGAUCUCUUGGNUCUGGCAUCGAUGAAUAACGCAGCGAAAUGCGAUAAGUAGUGUGAAUUGCAGAAUUCAGUGAAUCGUCCAAUCUUUGAACGCGCAUUGCGCCCCUUGGUAUUCCAUGGGGCAUGCCUGUUCGAGCGUCAUUUACACCCUCAAGCUCCGCUUGGAGUUGGGCGUCUGUCCGCGCAGUUUGCGUGGACUCGCCCCAAAGGUAUUGGCAGCGGUCUUGCCAGCUUCUCGCGCAGCACAUUGCGCUUCUGGAGGCUCCGGCGGAUCGGCGUCCAUCAAGUCCACACCCACUGUUUGACCU